AGGACGAACGCUGGCGGCGUGCUUAACACAUGCAAGUCGAGCGGAAAGGCCCUUCGGGGUACUCGAGCGGCGAACGGGUGAGUAACACGUGAGCAACCUGCCCUCAGCUCUGGGAUAGCUCCGGGAAACCGGAAUUAAUACCGGAUACGACUACGGCCGACAUCGGCUUUGGUGGAAAGGAUUUCCGGCUGAGGAUGGGCUCGCGGCCUAUCAGCUAGUUGGUGGGGUAAUGGCCCACCAAGGCGACGACGGGUA
rnacentral:rRNA from 1 species